GCCCGCCUCCCUGCGAGCCGAUCUCGGUCCGCUCCGAGGGAAGGGAAAAUAAAGCAUGUUUGUGUGAGAGCGCGCUGUCACAAGAGGCGAGGGAGGGGGGUAGGGUGGACUCCGGUUCGGGUGAGGGGGUGGGCUCGGUGGAUCGAGAGGGAGAGAGGACCUGGCCCUUUAAAUAGAUCAACCAUUCGGUGGGUAAAUGGCCAAGCUGUACUUUCUUCAGAGAGAUACCUCAGUUCUCCAUGGGUUUGACUGCUGCAACCAGCGUGCUCUUUUAUGUGAGUUAGGCCUUACAGGGACCAAUGCUUAAUUACUGGUAGACUUGCACUGCACACUGAUUACAGAAAUAAA
rnacentral:lncRNA from 1 species